rnacentral:misc_RNA from 1 species
GAUGAAGAACGGAGCGAAAUGCGAUAAUUAAUGUGAAUUGCAGAAUUUAGUGAAUCAUCGAGUCUUUGAACGCACAUUGCGCCUCAUGGUAUUCCGUGAGGCAUGCCUGUCUGAGCGUCAACAACACCACUCAAGCAUUGCUCUCUUGCUCUGCUUGGUCCAUGUCAGGGAAGCGGUUGGGCCUGUCCAACUGCCCCUUGAAAAGCAAUAGAUGGUCAGGUUGUCACCUUAAGCCAAACGUCAUAUGAUUCUUAUCGUUCGUUUGUCUAUCUGACUUCUUGACAGUUGUUGAACCCAACAGCACCAUGCUGUUUAUUCUGACUUGACCUCAGAUCAGGUAGGGAUACCCGCUGAACUUAAGCAUAUCAAUAAGCGGAGGA